UACCCUAAAUAACUCUCCAUAUCUUUCGAUUCUAUUAGAGAUGGACAAUAUCUGAGAUGAUUUUAUAUACACAUUGUAUGUCAUUAGUAUAUAAAGUCUUAGCCUUAGUCCAAACGUUCCAACUAGUUCUAUCAACUAUAUCAUUUUCACUAGCAUUGUUAACUAAAUGAUCAUCGUAACCUUGUCCCAUAAACCACAACUCUACUUAGGCUGACAUGACAUAUAAUUAUUACUGCCUUGCAAUUUAACAAUAGUAAUUGUUGGAGAAUAAGAAAAAGAGGAUAAAAUUGACUUAGAGCCACCUGUAUCAGAG
rnacentral:misc_RNA from 1 species